AACGAACGCUGGCGGCAGGCUUAACACAUGCAAGUCGAACGCACCUUCGGGUGAGUGGCAGACGGGUGAGUAACGCGUGGGAACCUUCCCUGUGGUACGGAAUAGCUCCGGGAAACUGGAAUUAAUACCGUAUACGCCCUUUUGGGGAAAGAUUUAUCGCCAUAGGAUGGGCCCGCGUCGGAUUAGCUUGUUGGUAGGGUAAUGGCCUACCAAGGCAACGAUCCGUAGCUGGUCUUAGAGGAUGAUCAGCCACACUGGGACUGAGACACGGCCCAGACUCCUACGGGAGGCAGCAGUGGGGAAUAUUGGACAAUGGGCGAAAGCCUGAUCCAACCAUGCCGCGUGAGUGACGAAGGCCUUAGGGUUGUAAAACUCUUUUGGCGGGGACGAUAAUGACGGUACCCGCAGAAUAAGCCCCGGCUAACUUCGUG
rnacentral:rRNA from 1 species